rnacentral:rRNA from 1 species
UACGUAGGGGGCGAGCGUUGUCCGGAAUCAUUGGGCGUAAAGCGCGUGUAGGCGGCUCGGAAAGUCUGGUGUGAAAUCUUGAGGCUCAACCUUAAGCUGUCACUGGAUACUGUCGAGCUUGAGUCCGGAAGAGGAGAGUGGAAUUCCUGGUGUAGCGGUGGAAUGCGCAGAUAUCAGGAGGAACACCUAUGGCGAAGGCAGCUCUCUGGUACGUGACUGACGCUGAGACGCGAAAGCGUGGGGAGCAAACAGG